rnacentral:rRNA from 1 species
UAGGGAAUCUUCGGCAAUGGACGAAAGUCUGACCGAGCAACGCCGCGCGAGUGAAGAAGGUUUUCGGAUCGUAAAACUCUGUUGUUAGAGAAGAACAAGGACGUUAGUAACUGAACGUCCCCUGACGGUAUCUAACCAGAAAGCCACGGCUAACUACGUGCCAGCAGCCGCGGUAAUACGUAGGUGGCAAGCGUUGUCCGGAUUUAUUGGGCGUAAAGCGAGCGCAGGCGGUUUCUUAAGUCUGAUGUGAAAGCCCCCGGCUCAACCGGGGAGGGUCAUUGGAAACUGGGAGACUUGAGUGCAGAAGAGGAGAGUGGAAUUACAUGUGUAGCGGUGAAAUGCGUAGAUAUAUGGAGGAACACCAGUGGCGAAGGCGGCUCUCUGGUCUGUAACUGACGCUGAGGCUCGAAAGCGUGGGGAGCAAACAGG